UACGGAGGGUGCAAGCGUUGUUCGGAUUUACUGGGCGUAAAGCGCGCGCAGGUGGGGUGAACAAGUCGGAAGUGAAAUCUUGAGGCUCAACCUCGAGGCUGCUCCCGAAAACUGUUCGCCUAGGGGACUGGUAGAGGCUGGUAGAAUUCCCGGUGUAGCGGUGGAAUGCGUAGAGAUCGGGGAAAGAAUACCCCUGGCGAAGGCGGCCAGCUGGGGCCCAGGGUCCCGACACUAGGCGCGAAAAGCUGGGGGAGCAAACGG
rnacentral:rRNA from 1 species